GGGUGCAAUCAUACUAGCACUAAAAUAUCGGAUCCCAUCAGAACACUGCAGUUAAACGUGCUUGGGCGAGAGUAGUACUAAAAUGGAUGACCCCCUGGGAAGUCCUCGUGUUGCAUCCU